UACGUAGGGAGCAAGCGUUGUUCGGAUUUACUGGGCGUAAAGGGCGCGUAGGCGGCAGAUCAAGUCAGCUGUGAAAUCUCCGAGCUUAACUCGGAACUGUCAGCUGAUACUGUUUUGCUAGAGUGCGGAAGGGGCAAUCGGAAUUCUUGGUGUAGCGGUGAAAUGCGUAGAUAUCGAGAGGAACACCAGUGGCGAAGGCGAGUCCCUGGACAGGUCCUGACGCUGAGGCACGAAAGCUAGGGGAGCAAACAGG
rnacentral:rRNA from 1 species